rfam:Salmo salar isolate Sally breed double haploid chromosome ssa10, whole genome shotgun sequence.
UGCAUUCACUACUGUAAGUUGCUCUGGAUAAGAGUGUCUGCUAAAUUAUGUAAA